UGAUAAUUUCAGGAAAGCAUGAGGUGACUGCUCUCUCAGAGGAAGAAAUAGCUGAUAGAUCUUUUCUAUAUAUGUGAACUAGCUGUAAGAAAGACUGAAGAUCUGACCAGAAGUCUUCCUUCUGUGAGGUGCCUUUGUUGGAGAAAAAAAAAGACGAGUCAAAUUGUCUGCCACUGUGGAAAUUCAUUUCAGAUGUGUACAGGGCAGUAUCUACAGCACCAAGUCUUGGACAGAAUGGAAUCUGUUGCAGAUAUUGCUUGUCAACUGAAAGGAAUCUCACUGGAGCAUUGUAAUCUCUCCAAAAUAAUUUUUUCAAUUAUGUUUAACAUACAGGAGUAGAUGACUUAAAAAACCAUCCUAGCUGACAGCCCAAAGGCAACCAAAUGUUACAGUCAAGUCCAUUUUAAAGGUGCAGAGUGUCCAUAUUAACCCUUCAUCUAUAGAUGGUUGAAAGAAAACAAAAUACACAAAUCGUGCACCUUUUAGAGAUCUCAGCACUUAAACCUGGAGAUGUGGCUGCAGUGUAGAAACGAAGAAACAUGCAGUGUCAAGAUGAGGAAAAUAAAGAACAACACUGAUGCUUUAGCAGCAGCCUCUUGACAAUCCACUUCUGUCAACUGAAGAACAGCGUUUGGAGUAGGAUGACUACAGAUGCUUUACCUCAGAUAAACCACUUUGAAGCCAUGAGUUGUGGCCACAGCCCUCCGUAGACUCUACAUAGAGUUUUCCAGGGGUCAAGUGCUGUAAAAAGUCAUCAACACCAUGAUGCAGAGUUAUGACUGCCUAUUCGGGGUUUCCUCUUAUUCCCAUAAUGGAACGCAUCUCCACAUAUUCAAUCAGCCACGGUUAUUCUGCCUGGCUACACAGACUGAAGCUAAGAUGCACACUGAACAUUUCUGUCACUUUUGCUGUUCUGGCCACUAUGCUUAUUCAAAGAGCUGGAAGGAAAACUCUCAUUAGAGAAAAAUUCAUUUAGCCUUAUGAAAGCCUGCACUGGGCUAAUAGAAGCUUUAGAAAGCUCUCCCUUCUGGUUAGGAUUGUCCUGAUCAAGGCCUGAGGCAGAAUGAAGAGACAGCUUCAUUGUCUGAGUAAACAUUAGGGCUAUAGAUGAACAGGAUUUUGUUCAUAAGGCUAUUGCUCAGAAACUGGAGAAUAAGCCAGUGAGCUGCUGGUAGCAUAGACUGCAGCCCAAGAGAUUGUUGCAAACUUCAAGGUGAAAAUAAGAAUCUGUUUGUGGUUACUGCUCAAGCAAAGGAGACAUCCUCAUGUUGAGGAUCCAGGUGAUGGUAGGUUUCUAUUACAUAGGCUAGGAAAAAAAAAACAAUGCAAAAUGUGGGUAAGAUAAGCUAACUUUGGUGGUGGUGGUGGUGGCUGUGUGUAGAUAGGGGUGAGUUGUGCAUGCUUCUGGGCAGCGUAAGUGUGUAAAGGAGAUGAACUGAGGGCACUGUGUGCAUUUGGGUAGUUCCAGUGCAUGUUGCUAUGCUGGGCUGAAAGAGUAUGGCAGUAGACAUCUACUGGGAGUUGAAAAGCAUCAUUCAUGGUGCACAGAUGCUGAGGGUUGCUGCAAGUGGAGUGGUGUCCAAAAGUGGGAGCAGCAUCUUUGUGGUCAUGUGUCAGGAUCCUUCUUUUCCUGGACGGAAGAAUGCCAGCUGUAAAGCGCCUAGAACUUAAGAAGUUUCCAGGAGAAAGGAUGCAAUGAAUGUAGACCUCUAGGUGAGUAAAGUGAAAAUGGAAUCCAGGUCCAAACUGAGAUGGAGUGAAUGAAACACGGAGAAUCACUGAAAUGUACUUCAAAUUCCUUCCAAAUUACCCUGUAGCACUUCUGGUUGACAAGGCUUUGUCAGGCCUGUCUCGGUAGGUCUGUCCGGUCAGGAAUCAGGGCAGAGAUGAAGGGACAGAUGGAGGAAAGGAGACAGAGUAUAUGAUCUUGCUCAAGGGACACGUUAAAUUUAAGUUGGUUUUUUUUUUUUUUUUUUUUUUUUUUUUUGUUAAUAGCUUCACGGUGUAGUAGUGUCUGACCUUGCAGAAAGGAUUUUUAAGUACCUUUCCAUUCUCCCUUUGCUUUGCUUUCUGCUUUUUAUCUUCUUAGAGUAAUAAAGAUGCUCAAGUCCAGAGAGUUCCUAUAGGAAUUGAAUGCUUAAACACACAGCCUUGCUCUGGAAGGGGAGAUGGAGGAAGGAGUGUGAAUAGGAAGGGGGAGGAGAUCUGUCAAAAACAGUUUUAGGACUGAUCAAAGCAGGAAGGAAGGAGAGGAUAAUCUCCUCCUGAAUAUGAUCAUGUCAUUUCAGAAGACUCUUUUCUGCAACGGAGCUAUGCAUCAGUGCUGGGAGUAGUGUACAUUAAGAAUUAGCAUUUGCUUGGAGCUUCUAAUGUGCUGCAGAAAAUAGAAUUGAUCUCCACUCCAGCUACAAGCCUAAGAAGAACUAAGAUACCCUCUGGUUAGGAGAGGGUGCUUACCCUGCUUGGUAGCACAAGGCUGAGAGCAGGAAUAACACUGAAGCUCAGGUGGCUGAGUGUAUGCUUUGUAUACAGCUACAAAUGCAGAAGUAAAAGGAAUAGCUCACUUCUGUUUAUUGUGUUGCUUCUGCUUUGGCUUACAUUUGUGUCUACUACCAGUGGUAGUUCAGUGUUCUCUGGGAGCACACAAUGGUGGGAAUGAUGCAGAACAAAUGAUUGCCUUACUAAAAUUUUGUCAUAAUCUUUACUUGCUGCGAUGGAUCUCAUCACUGCCUAAAAAUUGGGGCUUUUCUGCCAUAUAUCUAUUUCAGUUCUUUUUAUAUAUCAAAAGGACAGAUGUUUUGAUGGCAGAGGGUCCUUAUACAAGCUGUCUGUAUUGAUAUAUACAGAUGACUUUGUACUGGAGAAGGAAGGUGUGACUGAGCAGUGAGCAGCAGCCACUGAGAUCUUCUGGGAGCACAUCUCAAGUUUGUGCACAGGCCUGACUGAGUGAGUGAUGGCUUGUCAGACACCGGGGGAGUUUGGACAAGUGCCUAGAAUGGAAAUCCAUUGGGAGUUGUUAAACUUAGAAAAGCCUUCUUGAGCUCACAAAAUCUGAAGGCUGCAAAUCGUUAGGGGCUGGAGACUUGACUGUGUGUCCCUGUGUGCCUGCUGUAUUGUCCCCUUCCCAAGGUGUCACAGUGUGCUGGAUUAGGUGGCUCCUUGGUGUGAGCUGCCACGGUUAUUAGAAAACAGCCACUGCAGAACUAAUGCAUGUCCAAGAUAGCUCUGAGUUCUUACAUCAAUAUGGUUGUGUCUACUUACUGAUUUACUCUUUUCUGAAAGCUCUGGCUUGUUGGAGUUGUAGACAACGGGGCAGGUGAGUUAAUUCCCCUGAAGCUAAGCUUCCUUGGCCAGGGGCAGUGAUAAAUUUGGGUAACCUCUGCCAGACAGAGUGGAAAAUCUUGUGCUAGUGGAUGACUCCUUGAGUAUGCGGAAGUUUGUUAAGAUAUCAGAGGUAAAGUUGAACGUAAAGUGUCAUGUUCCCAUUACCUAAAUGACUCGGGUAGACAAUUCUUGAACUUACUGAAGAGAUUCUCGUACCUGCUGAAGAGACAUUUGUGACAUUUGUGCAUAAGCUACCACAAUUUAUGUACAAUCUUGAAUCAAAGUAAGCUUGAAUUAACAGACACGAGUAUACCCUCAAAAACAUACAGCAUGAGCAUGCUGUUGUGCCCUAGUAAAGCAUUCCAAUGGCAACAGCAGGGGCAGCAAGGAAAAAUUCUGGAGGCUUUGAUUCACAUACUGCAUCUACUGGAAGACUGCUUCUGAAGUGGUGGAAUCCGAGCGCACAGUUGGUAACAGCCCAUGGCUUUAUGGCACUAGCUGCAAAGUGCUAAGAUCAGGAUGAUAGGUGGCAAAAGGAUUUUCUUGUGUCCAGCAGAAAAAGUAGAUUUGAGUCACAGUCAAGAGUCAAGGAGCCACGUUCUUUCUUUUUGCUACAGUGGCCUUUGCUGUACAGCCUUUGCGAAACAGCGUCCCCCACCCCCAUGGUGCUGUCAAAGCAGUAACAUAGCAUUGAGGUGAUUUUGUAUCGCACAGCCAAAAGAAAGGAAAAUAGUAUCUUAAGUGACAGGCUCUAAAUACAGUGAAAAGAAAACAUUGAUCAUGCGUGUGCGGUCAUAUUUUUGUCAUCUCCUUAGACUGCGAAAAGGCGGUCACAGUAAAGCUUACUUAAAAUACGUUCAGUCUUUUCCCGUUGACAUUAGGUAUUUUUUUUUUUUUUCAGCCAAAGAUCUCUAAGUUGCGAAGAUACACAGGGCUUGAUGACAUUAGUAGGAGCCAUUGGAUAAUGCCA
ensembl:lncRNA